rnacentral:rRNA from 1 species
UACGUAGGGUGCAAGCGUUGUUCGGAAUUACUGGGCGUAAAGGGCGCGUAGGCGGCCUGUUAAGUCGAACGUGAAAUCCCCGGGCUCAACCCGGGAACUGCGUCCGAUACUGGCAGGCUUGAAUCCGGGAGAGGGAUGCGGAAUUCCAGGUGUAGCGGUGAAAUGCGUAGAUAUUCGGAAGAACACCAGUGGCGAAGGCGACUUACUGGACACAUAUUGACGCUGAGGUGCGAAAGCGUGGGGAGCAAACAGG